UACAGAGGUCUCAAGCGUUGUUCGGAUUCAUUGGGCGUAAAGGGUGCGUAGGUGGCGCCGUAAGUCGGGUGUGAAAUUUCGGAGCUUAACUCCGAAACUGCAUUCGAUACUGCGGUGCUUGAGGACUGGGAGAGGAGUACUAGGAAUUCGAUGGUGUAGCAGUGAAAUGCGUAGAGAUCAUGAGGAAGACCAGUGGCGAAGGCGGGUCUCUGGACAGUUCCUGACACUGAGGCACGAAGGCCAGGGGAGCAAACAGG
rnacentral:rRNA from 1 species